GCAGCUCUAGAAGGAGUAGAUUAUUUUUUAAUUUUCCAGGGCAUUAGUUUGAGGUAUUUGACUGCAGAUUGUUUAAAACAAAAAGAGGAACAGUGUAAAGGAGCAUUCAAAGGAAGAAACAUUCUUUGAAGUAUGAAGCAGCCAAUUGUAUUGGAUAUGACAGCAGCUGCAUCUCACACAGAAUCCACAAGGCACCAAAUCUCAGAGUCCACCCAGAGAAACAGGAUCACAACCACAUGACGGAAAAGGUGAUCAAGAGUCAGGGGACCGAGUGAGACGGACUGGAGACAACACAGGAGGAACUGACAAAGAUAAGACCAAACGCACACAAUAAAUAGCGAGCGUGAACGAGCCAUAGCUGAUCUCACUCAGCUCGCCCACGCUCAGACACACCCACUAAUCUGAACACAUACAACACAAGGAUGAGACAACGAACCUAUGAAACAUGACAGGAGAAGCCUCACUUGUGUAUGUGCUGAGCUGUGGUGAUAUAGCAAGCCAAUCUGAUAAUAAUAGCCCAAUAAUAAUAGGCCUCCUAUAUAAGAAUAUUAUUAAUAAUAAUAGUUUUAUAAUAAUAUUGUCUUGAUUAUCAACAAAGACAUCUGGUAUUGUCAUUAUCUCUGACUAUCAUUGAUACACGAUUGUGACACAACCGUAUCUGAUUUGUUGUUGUUAUUGUGUGCACUUCAUCAGCGAUAAGAACAUUAACACACCAUUAAGAGCAUGCUGCUGGAGGCACAGUAUCCUUCACUCUUUACAGGUCACACUGAUUAAUUUUUUUUAUGUUUGGUUUUCAGAAAUGAAUGUGAUUAUUAUAUUUUCUUAAACAAAAAAAAAGUGUUAUUUUGCCAGUAAACAAGCACCAGGUUGCACAUGGCAACAUAAACUGAUGAGAAGAAGUCAAAAAAUUAGGUUCAUCUUUUAUCAGUUUAUGUCCAUGAAUAUGUAACACCUAAGGUCUACAUGCAUUUGGUUCAGAUUUGUGUAGUGCUUUAAAAAUGAAUUUAUAUGUGAGUAAAUAAUUAUAAAUACAGAUAUCCAAGGGAAUAUUUUAAUAGCUACAUUUAAAUAAAUAUUUCAUGGAUUGUGUUUGAUUAUUUAGUUUUUUAAUUAUUAAAUAAUACUUUAUCUUUAUACCUAUACCUCUUUAUUUGUUCUGUAUAGCUGUAUUUGAAAACCUGUAUAAUUUUUUUAUGUUACGAUACUUCAAUGAUAUAUUUUAUUAUAAUGAUAAUAUUUUAGGAGACCCACUGUGGUCUUUUGUCAUGCUUGUUGGUUAUAACAGUAUGACAUGACUGAUUUGACACAACUACAGGAAGUAAUUGUAAUUUUUUUUUUUUUAUUUACAUUACCAUUUAAGUUUAGGUAGGUAAGAUUUUUGUUUGUUUUUUGGAAGUAUUUUGAGUUUCACCAAGGCUUUAUUUAUUUAAAAUAAUACAGUAAAAACAUUAACAUUGAAAAAUAGUCUUACAAUUUAAAUUGUUUUAUGUUUUCUGUUGUAAUAUUUUAAAAUGUCUGCAGUGGUAAAGCAAAGACAGCAGAGGGGAUGUAUUGUAAUGGUAUUAUCAAUAUGGUAUUGUGAUAGCAAAACUCGAUAUGGAGUGUUGAAGCUUUGACUUUACUUUGUAGCUGUAACGGAAGCAGGCACAGGAAGUAUGUAAACUGAUAACAAGCUUUAUUUGCACAGAUGAGCAAUAGAAAGUCUGUAGCAGAGGAAUCAGGAAUCAAGAGUAUAGGGAAGACAAAUGAGAUCCUUGAAGCACACACCAAUCACAGAGACCGCUGACAGAGAC